rnacentral:rRNA from 1 species
AUUGAACGCUGGCGGCAGGCCUAACACAUGCAAGUCGAGCGGAUGAAGGGAGCUUGCUCCUGGAUUCAGCGGCGGACGGGUGAGUAAUGCCUAGGAAUCUGCCUGGUAGUGGGGGAUAACGUCUUGAGACGGGCGCUAAUACCGCCUACGUCCUGAGGGAGCAACUGGGGGGUCUUCGGACCUCACGCUCGCAGAUGAGCGUAGGUCGGAUUAGCUAGCUGGUGGGGUAAAGACCUACCUAGGCGACGAUUCGUAAAUGGUCUGAGAGGAUGAUCAGUCACACGGGAACUGGAACGCGGACAUGGCUCCUACGGGAGGCACCAGUGGGGAAUAGUAGACAGUGGGCGGAAACAUUGUCCAGUCGUGCCGCGUGUGAGAAGGAGGUCUUCGGAUUGUAAUGCCGUUUAAGUUGGGAGGAACGGCAUUAGGCUAAUACCUAGCUGUAGUGACGUUACCAACAGAAUAAGCACCGGCUAACUUCGUG